GCAUAUCAAUAAGCGGAGGAAAGAACCACAGGGAUUGCCCUAGUAACGGCGAGUGAAGCGGCAACAGCUCAAAUUUGAAAUCUGGCUUUCGGGCCCGAGUUGUAAUUUGUAGAGGAUGAUUUUGAUGCGGUGCCUUCCGAGUUCCCUGGAACGGGACGCCAUAGAGGGUGAGAGCCCCGUCUGGUUGGAUGCCAAAUCUCUGUAAAUCUCCUUCGACGAGUCGAGUAGUUUGGGAAUGCUGCUCUAAAUGGGAGGUAUAUGUCUUCUAAAGCUAAAUACCGGCCAGAGACCGAUAGCGCACAAGUAGAGUGAUCGAAAGAUGAAAAGCACUUUGAAAAGAGAGUUAAAAAGUACGUGAAAUUGUUGAAAGGGAAGCGUUUAUGACCAGACUUGGGCUUGGUUAAUCAUCUGGGGUUCUCUCCAGUGCACUUUUCCAGUCCAGGCCAGCAUCAGUUUUCGCCGGGGGAUAAAGGCUUCGGGAAUGUGGCUCCCCUCGGGGAGUGUUAUAGCCCGUUGUGUAAUACCCUGGCGGGGACUGAGGUUCGCGCUUCUGCAAGGAUGCUGGCGUAAUGGUCAUCAACGACCCGUCUUGAAACACGGACCAAGGAGUCGUCUUCGUAUGCGAGUGUUCGGGUGUCAAACCCCUACGCGUAAUGAAAGUGAACGCAGGUGAGAGCUUCGGCGCAUCAUCGACCGAUCCUGAUGUUCUCGGAUGGAUUUGAGUAAGAGCAUACGGGGCCGGACCCGAAAGAAGGUGAACUAUGCCUGUGUAGGGUGAAGCCAGAGGAAACUCUGGUGGAGGCUCGCAGCGGUUCUGACGUGCAAAUCGAUCGUCAAACAUGGGCAUGGGGGCGAAAGACUAAUCGAACCUUCUAGUAGCUGGUUUCCGCCGAAGU
rnacentral:rRNA from 1 species